rnacentral:rRNA from 1 species
UACUGGAUAUGAGCUCUCAUCGCAUGGUGGGGGUUGGAAAGAUUUUUCGGUCUGGGAUGGGCUCGCGGCCUAUCAGCUUGUUGGUGAGGUAAUGGCUCACCAAGGCGUCGACGGGUAGCCGGCCUGAGAGGGUGACCGGCCACACUGGGACUGAGACACGGCCCAGACUCCUACGGGAGGCAGCAGUGGGGAAUAUUGCACAAUGGGCGGAAGCCUGAUGCAGCAACGCCGCGUGAGGGAUGACGGCCUUCGGGUUGUAAACCUCUUUUAGCAGGGAAGAAGCGAGAGUGACGGUACCUGCAGAAAAAGCGCCGGCUAACUACGUGCCAGCAGCCGCGGUAAUACGUAGGGCGCAAGCGUUAUCCGGAAUUAUUGGGCGUAAAGAGCUCGUAGGCGGUUUGUCGCGUCUGCUGUGAAAUCCCGAGGCUCAACCUCGGGCCUGCAGUGGGUACGGGCAGACUAGAGUGCGGUAGGGGAGAUUGGAAUUCCUGGUGUAGCGGUGGAAUGCGCAGAUAUCAGGAGGAACACCGAUGGCGAAGGCAGAUCUCUGGGCCGUAACUGACGCUGAGGAGCGAAAGGGUGGGGAGCAAACAGGCUUAGAUACCCUGGUAGUCCACCCCGUAAACGUUGGGAACUAGUUGUGGGGACCAUUCCACGGUUUCCGUGACGCAGCUAACGCAUUAAGUUCCCCGCCUGGGGAGUACGGCCGCAAGGCUAAAACUCAAAGGAAUUGACGGGGACCCGCACAAGCGGCGGAGCAUGCGGAUUAAUUCGAUGCAACGCGAAGAACCUUACCAAGGCUUGACAUACACCAGAACACCGUAGAAAUACGGGACUCUUUGGACACUGGUGAACAGGUGGUGCAUGGUUGUCGUCAGCUCGUGUCGUGAGAUGUUGGGUUAAGUCCCGCAACGAGCGCAACCCUCGUUCUAUGUUGCCAGCACGUAAUGGUGGGAACUCAUGGGAUACUGCCGGGGUCAACUCGG